rnacentral:rRNA from 1 species
GUAGGGAAUAUUGGACAAUGGGGGGAACCCUGAUCCAGCCAUGCCGCGUGGAGGAAGACUGCCCUCUGGGUUGUAAACUCCUUUUAUAUGGGAAGAACCGUCCUCAUUAAUGAGUGACCUGACGGUACCAUAGGAAUAAGCACCGGCUAACUCCGUGCCAGCAGCCGCGGUAAUACGGAGGGUGCAAGCGUUAUCCGGAUUCACUGGGUUUAAAGGGUGCGUAGGCGGAUAAAUAAGUCAGUGGUGAAAUCAACGGGCUCAACCUGUUAACUGCCAUUGAUAAUGUGUAUCUUGAAUAUGAGAGAGGUAGGCGGAAUGUUGCAUGUAGCGGUGAAAUGCUUAGAUAUGCUACGGAACACCGAUUGCGAAGGCAGCUUACUAUUUCGUAAUUGACGCUGAGGCACGAAAGCGUGGGUAGCGAACAGGAUUAGAAACCCGUGUAGUCC